AAAUAGAUAAGAUUUUGCCGUUGUCUCUUCAGUUAGAGAUACACAGUAUGAUGUCAUAAUGUGUAUCUAUAACUGAACAGACAGUGGCAAAAUCUUAUCUGUUU